CGAGGCCACUUUUCUGUGGUACAACAUGGAUGGUACCUCCAAUUUUUAGGUGUAUUUUGACAUAUCUAUACCUUGUAAGAAUUUUUUUUUUCUUUUUGGUUAAAUUUCUUCCCUUUGUUGUUCCUGUUCUUUGGACUUAGAUAUUUUUUCUGAGGACCUUCUUGUCCUUUGUCCUCAAGUGCAAUGAUAACAGGUGAGCGAUAUAGGGCCAUCAUGGCCCUCUUGUUCUGUUUCAGGACUGCCUGGUUUUUAGGGUCUCAGCCACAAACAGAUGUAGCCCACUUUGUGAAGGGAUUGCAGUCCUCAUUCAGUGUAGAUGGUAUAAUGGAAGAUGGUGGUCUAUUUUCAACUUUCACUAAGGAGCUUCUACAUCUUAUGACAGCAGCAGACAGAACUCUGCGAGAACAAGAUGAUGCAUUGUUCAAGAAGACGCUUGUUCAGUACGUUGGAAGACAACGUAACAGUGACAUAACUCUGCUAAACCCUAAUCAAAUGUUCUCUGGGGCCGGUGUUGAGGUCAAUUCAGAAGAGACACCAUACAUCUGGAUCGAAUCAUGGCCAGGUUGUCCGCCUGCUCAUUUGUACAGGACAAUAGAGAUGCCAUUUUCAUUAGCUGCAAUAGGGGAGUGGUUGGUUUUAGCUAGGACUGUGCAAGGUCAUAACUUUCCAGCGACCUUAAUGACGCUUGCAUCGACGAUGGCAAUGUGUUGGUAUCGCAAGUUACUUGGAGAAGUUGGACACUUCAACCUGCCACUUCUUUACAGGGAGCCAAUGUGUGGGAAGACUCUGACCGCCCAGUGCAUGGCUAAUGUAACAGGGUCUGAUUCUGUCUACUCGAGAUGUACUCUGGCUGCAAUAACUGAGCUGUGCAGCAUGUCUACGAUACCAGUUGUUUGGGAUGACCCCACUGAGGCAGCUGAUGUGAGCCAGCUGGCAACUGACUUGGGAAAUGGCGCCAUUAGGGGAACCAAGGAUUGCAAUCUACAGCCCCAGACAGGUUGUUUAGUGACAGCCAACUUUGAUUUGGGAGGAACAAAGAAAUGCUACACCCAUCUCAAUCUUAUCCUCUUCGAGAAGGCAGAGGUCAGUGAUGUGGCCCAUGUGAUGCAGCUGGAGGAUGGCGCCCGCAAGGCUUCAGCUGCACUACCUGGUAUGUUAAGUCUUACAGACGGUGUUACAGCAGUUGAUAUAUGGAAGAUGACCCUCCAGAUUAUGACUUGUUGCAAGAGUUUAGAAGUUAGGCUGGUUGAGGGUAUGGCUGUGCUCUUAACUGUAAUGACAAAGAUACUUGAAGCACUCAAUCUGCCAUGGUCAGAUGAACUUUUUACAUACCUGCAGACGGAAAUCAUUCCAUCCCAUAUGCAGUGUCUUGGGCACAGUGUGAACAAAAUAGCAGCAAACCAUGGAACCUUCAGUCGGCUCGUAUCUGACAUAGUAUCUGACUUGGCCCCAGAGCAGAUCCCCGAGUAUGUGAAAUUGAAUGGUUCAUGUCUGACACUGAGAACUGUCGAACUGCCACGCCAGAUUCAACAGCGCGCUGCUGAGCUACCUGGGGGAAGAACAAAAAAUGUCUGCAUGGGGGUUAUGAAGAAGGUUUAGAAGUGCCGUGUUUUUGAUGUGGAUGUAGAGGCAGCAGUUAUAGAAAACAUUCUGACAGAGCACCAGAUGGCACCUGUGGCCAUUCCUUUCCAACAGGCACCUGGCAAACGUAUUGUAGAGGCACCAUGUGCACCCAUGACUGUUAAUGUAGCACCACCUCGAGAAGACGCAGAAGCUGCACCAUUACCUGGCCCAGAAGUAAUAACUACACAGCCUUCAGCCGAUACAGAGGCACCACCCCAGGAAGACACUGAUUCAACCACAACUUCAAAUGUGGAGCCAGCAGGGACACCAGCACGUUCACUGUUUAAGGUUGUGACGAGAAAGCAAGCUGCAAGCAGCACAGCUGAGACCAAUAAUGUGGCAGUAAAUUUGUAAGUAAACUAUGGACAGUUUUGUUGUUUGUUUACCAUGUCGAUUCAAAUGUUGGUAGAUUAAAUGAAGAUCUUCAUAAAAUCUUUUCAACUUUUAUUGCAUGUCAGAUAAUUUGUAUCUCCACUAGCCUAUCCUAUGUCAGAGACAUAACGGAUAUCAGUAAGCGUUGUAGCAGAGACAGCAUGUAAUGUCAGUACAGCAGAACAAUUACAUAUGUC